AGUGAACGCUGGCGGUAGGCCUAACACAUGCAAGUCGAACGGCAGCACAGGAGAGCUUGCUCUCUGGGUGGCGAGUGGCGGACGGGUGAGGAAUACAUCGGAAUCUACUCUGUCGUGGGGGAUAACGUAGGGAAACUUACGCUAAUACCGCAUACGACCUACGGGUGAAAGCAGGGGACCUUCGGGCCUUGCGCGAUUGAAUGAGCCGAUGUCGGAUUAGCUAGUUGGCGGGGUAAAGGCCCACCAAGGCGACGAUCCGUAGCUGGUCUGAGAGGAUGAUCAGCCACACUGGAACUGAGACACGGGCCAGGCUCCUACGGGAGGCAGCAGUGGGGAAUAUUGGACAAUGGGCGCAAGCCUGAUCCAGCCAUACCGCGUGGGUGAAGAAGGCCUUCGGGUUGUAAAGCCCUUUUGUUGGGAAAGAAAUCCAGCUGGCUAAUACCCGGUUGGGAUGACGGUACCCAAAGAAUAAGCACCGGCUAACUUCGUGCCAGCCCCGCGGUAA
rnacentral:rRNA from 1 species